AAGAUACUAGUAAAAUGUAAUUACAUUGUUUUGUCAAGACAAAAAUGUGAGUUAAAUCCUCACGUAUCUUG
rnacentral:tRNA from 4 species